GUGCCAGCAGCCGCGGUAAGACGUAGGGUGCGAGCGUUGUCCGGAUUUACUGGGCGUAAAGAGCGCGUAGGCGGAUCGGUAAGUGUGAAGUGAAAUCUCCAGGGCUCAACCCGGAAACUGCUUCGCAUACUGUCGAUCUGGAGGAACGGAGAGGUGAGUGGAAUUCCUGGUGUACCGGUGAAAUGGGUAGAUAUCAGGAGGAACACCCAUGGCGAAGGCAGCUCACUGGCCGUUAUCUGACGCUGAGGCGCGAAAGCGUGGGUAGCAAACAGGAUUAGAAACCCUAGUAGUCC
rnacentral:rRNA from 1 species